UACGGAGGGUGCGAGCGUUGUCCGGAAUCACUGGGCGUAAAGGGUGCGUAGGCGGGUCUUUAAGUCAGGGGUGAAAUCCUGGAGCUCAACUCCAGAACUGCCUUUGAUACUGAGGAUCUUGAGUACGGGAGAGGUGAGUGGAACUGCGAGUGUAGAGGUGAAAUUCGUAGAUAUUCGCAAGAACACCAGUGGCGAAGGCGGCUCACUGGCCCGUAACUGACGCUGAGGCACGAAAGCGUGGGGAGCAAACAGG
rnacentral:rRNA from 1 species